rnacentral:tRNA from 1 species
GCCGGAGUGGUGAAAUGGCAGACACAGCAGACUCAAAAUCUGCCGCCCCUAAAGCGUGAGGGUUCGAGUCCCUCCUCCGGCACCA